UCGAUCCGUGUAGCGUACUGAGCAUGACUGUAAUAAGGGAGAAAGAAAUAAAAUAGACAGUGAAAUAUGAUGUGCUCCCUCCAGAAGGAAAAGUAGAAGCCUGAAGCCAAAGUCCAAAGGUUACGUACUGUGGUAAUGGUCUUAUCUAACCGGAUUAUACCAAGUAUUUGCAGGCAAACAGAUUGAGACACGCUGCGGUCACGAAAGGACUGCAGGAAAGCCUGCCGAGACCGCCGGUCACCCCGUGCUCUCUGUUGGGUUGGAUUGCGGCGACAGGAAUGAGAGCCCUUCGAGGUCAAGCUGUUGUCUUCGGGCUACAUCCUUCUUUAGACAUCCGCAACGGUUCAGGAUGCUUCUAUAGAGGCUCUGAGCAUUUCAGGAUCCACCUGAUGUUUGCGUUCCCUUCCACCGGACUGCAGGCCUUGCUAACGAGUACCCUGUACACCUGCCACAGUUUGGUUGUCGGGCUUCAUUUCUCUUUCACUGAUACUUUUCCAGCUGCAUUCAAUAGAUUUAUGCCGUCUGUGUCUUUUUAAUGUGCCUGAACGGAGAUAAUGGAACAAGACUUUUAUGUAGUUCUGUGAAACAGCCUUUGCCCCGAAUCUCCUGCUUCAACAACCUCAUCCUCAGAUGAUGGCUAAUCCCCAUGCCUAAUGCUUCCUUUCCAUUAGCACCCGAGCAUCUUCACGCUGGCUUUCAUCACUGUACCUGGACUAUCCCCUUGGUGCUGCCAUUUUCACGCGUAGAGAGUUCUACCUGAGAAACCACACCGGCCUAGUGCAGGACACGGGCAGAGCCUUCCUGACGCCCCGGAGCUGCCCUGUUUGUCUCCUGUUUGCGGCUCUUGAGCCCUUACACUUGCUGUCGAGCAGCCAUUACCUUAGGACCGCUUCCAGCACCGAUGUUGAUGUGGGAAGACAUUUGCUUUGUACGGGAAAAAAAACGCUAGGCUGAAACCACAGUUGUGUAUGUGCAAUUUCACUUCUGCUCUUUUGCUUAUGUUCUUUUGCUGAUCAGGAGGCGCGUGCGUGAGCAGGACUGACCUCUCAUCCUGCGCUUACAGCCAGCGGGUCAUUCCCAAAGGCUGGGAGCGCGCUCGGUUCUGUGCCUGGCUACCUGCCCCUGUGCAGUUAUCCGGAGCUCAUCAGCAGGGAGGGAGUCUCGGGGCACCUCCCAAACAUUGCUCACCGCCACCUCCCUCGAGGAGAUUGCUGGCAGAGAUAAGGAAACGCCUGCCCUGCUGCAACUGGUGUUGCGGCUGCUGUGUUAUUGCUGGCAACCGUGGAGGUAGGCUGCGCUGCCAAGUUUCUUCAUUGUGGUGUUCCAAUGACAAAGCUUAGAUUAAAACCUAUUAAAAAUACAAUAUAGUCAAAGUAAAACCAAUGCAAAUAUUUUAUGUUUAAGUAAUCAGAUUCUCCGUGCUGUGGAAUGGUACAGUGCGUGCGCGGUGUGGCUGAUUCUAGUACUUCACUGUCCGGUAUUAGUUUUCACUAAAACACCGACGGUGAGGCCGAUCGUGAAGAAGAUGUGGCUAUCCCUACCCUCUAAUUGUUGUAGAGCUCAUCGCAAAUGAAGCGUUCUCAUAGUGAACUAAAGGAAACGGCUGUAAGUCUGAAUGCAGUUCUUAAACAUCUCGCCAAGCGUAACGUUAGCUAUGGAGUUCAGCUUCACAGGUGGAAGAAUAAGAAAAGACAAGUACCUUGGAAAAAGUAAACUCCGAUAAUGCUGCAGAGAACAUAUGAUCUUAGCAGAAAGGAAUUUUUAAAAGACUGGGGAAGAAAAACUCCUAUUCUUUAAGCUCCGCCAAUGAAAAAGAAAAAGAAGGAUCUAUAUAUACGCCUAAUAAAUGUACACGUUUGGGGCAGGAAAAGAAAUCAGUUUGUGGUGUCUUGGCCUGCCGGCACGGCUGGCUGCACAUACAGCUCAGCUCUCUGUUUGAACGGCAAGUAAAUCUCUGCAUACUCUGCCUUUGCUGGAGAUCUGGAAAGCUGAGCGUUCAGGUGUGUUGCAAGGUAAGCAGUAUUAGUGAGCUGGUCUCCUUCUGGAACCGUGUAAAUGAAAAAGGACAUAACGCAGCUCUGGCACCGUUUGCUCUGAUGACCCCAGUGUGUGUGCGUGCGUGUGCAUCUCCCACCCCCUCCCCAAGCAAGUAUGUGUAGAAGGCAGUCGGCUUGAUAAACCGCCGCUGCUGGAUGAAUUGAGAUCAGCCGCUCGUGCUGGAGCGUCUUUGCUCAGUCAGUAGUUUCGGAUGAUGUUCUGGAUAUUGCAUUCUCACUCUGUUUUCCAAAUGAAACCAAGGAGAUGACUCGCCAUCGACCAGGGAGGCCACUGGGUACCUCGCUGAGAUUUGGGGGCUUUUUCCUGUAGAGCUCCCUGUGAGGAAAGCAACAAGUCUAAUACAAGGGAGGCCUCCUGCAGCCCUUUCCCUUUAAGCCCAAAGAGAGACCUUAAGAAAAUACGUCCCAGUAAUACGAGGGACAAAUAAGAAGCAAUUUAGGAGCAAAAAAGGCAGUUCUAUUUACGCACGUAAAGGUGAAUGUUUGCCGUAGCGUUUUCUGUUUUAGAUCUCCCUUCCUCUGAUGGAAUUUUGUUUUUUGUUGGCCUCGAAACCAUCUUUGUCGUCCUUUCUUCCUAUUUUCUCCUUUGCUCACGUUUUCAUUCUCUCUGAAAAGUAACAUUCCAUUUUUCUUCCCGCCCUCCCCGACUCGCGCUCCGGGUUUCUGCAAUUUUCCUUUUCAAUCUUCUCCUCGUACAAUCACUCCCCGCUCCCUCCUGCCUCUCCCACCUUCACCGCACCUCCAGUGUCUUCAGCACAGCUCCAGCUCUACAAAACAACAGCAAUCAUAUAACAAUUUACAACCAUUAGCCAAUUGAGUGUAACACCUCUCUACAAGGCAGGUAAUCAUUUACAAACGCUGCUAAGCUACUGCUGUUUUGUGUGACAGAUUGUUCAGCUGCUUCUGCUCUCUCGAAGGGCCCCGGACAACAAUGGUAAGGCUGUGAAAGCACAGGGUUGGGAUGAACAACUAGAGCAGUGUGUGGGGAACUACAGACAUCUGCUAACACACUGCUGAGCUCUGAACUGUCCUUUUACUCCCGGUUUUGCGAGCAUUACAUGCGUUCCGUGCCUCUAUUGUCAAACUGGCUGCAUCUCGAGGAGGAAAAAAUCGAAAGGAAAAAAAAAAACAGAUGAAAAAAGCAGUCUGCAGCCCGCUCGGAGCUCGUCAUGCAGCACUUCCUAAAACUGCACGCGACAACUGGUUUGUCUUCUGCAUCCUGUGACUGCCAUGCUGUCAUCAUGUAAGCUAAGCCGUGCUGAAGUAGUGAGAGGCUAUUGUGUCUGCUGAAGGCGGUCGGUGAGUAUGUGAACGGUGCGACGUUACUCAGGGACCGACAAUCUGCAGUGCUGGGUGGCCUUUUUCAUAAAGGUAGGUUUUUGGUUUUUAACCUAAAUUAAUUAAGGAGCAGGUUGAUUCUGAAACAGCUAAGCCACUUCAAAGUGCUGAACCUAGAUUCUUAAUGGGGAACAAGGAAGUGAAAACAGGGUCAAAGCAGACCAUGUCUGCGCGUUGUUCUCAACCCCUUCAUUUCCCAUACAGGGUGAGCUCUGGUGGCAUUUUAAAAAUGGCAGCGCAACAUCUGCCAUACAAAAGGAGAACUGAGGUGUGCGGGAGGGAGCGUGGCGUAUUCAAAAGCCACUGCUCUCCUUUUAAAGAAGAUGAGCCAGAUAGCCAGAUGUUUCCUAUGUUUCCUUCUCCCCCCCCUCCCCCCCUCCCCCCAAGUCCUGGUCAUGCUUCCAUUGACUCCAGUCGCUGUAGGAUAUAUCCCUCUUUACUCUCUUUUUUAAUUUCUUUCACCACAACCCCAGUUAACUACUCUGUUCCUGCCAGUCCUGGUUGUCAUGUGAACGAUGUAUUUGGCGCUGUUCGCUACGUAAGAUUUUGAAUAGAUCGCUCCCGCUUGUGGCACAGGGAGGUCGGGGGGCUUUUCUCAUUUCCACAGUACGAUUUAAAUCAUGUUUCAAAAAACCCACUGCCGUUUCUUUAGGAAGCCACACAAGCCGGAGGUCUGGAAAGCGCACGGACCCAGUGUAGAGCACCACAUCCAGCUGUGCCGUCCCUACAGGUACCUGCGAAUCGUGCUAGAUGUCCAUCUGCGUCUUCAGGUAAGCACGCAGACAUUCCCACAAGUCUGGUCUCGUGCUACUUUGGUAAGUGCUUUUGAAAGCCGCACCCUGCAUUAAAAAGAGAUGGACGUGGGAGAUAAAGAUAAAUGCACAGAACACUUUCAUUUUCUUUAUUUUCAAUCGAUACUGUAUGAAUACAAAGUUUCUAGAAAGCUACAAAAAUUCUACCACUUUAUCAAGAAGGCAUCAAAAUGUGUCACUUUGCAAAGACAUGAAAACACCUGCAGUAACCGACACAAAAAUAGCAUUUUUAGAGUGAUGAAAUAAUUGCACUUAACUGUCAUGGAUAUUAAAGUUAUCACACAUAUGUACCGCGAAAGCUAGAAUACAUUUUUUUUUUAAUUUUUUUUUUUACAAAGCACUUUAUAAAAAAAUUCUCUGCACACAAAACCUAUAAUUUUCAUAUUACUAUCAUACUAAAGAUAAAGUCACUUUAAAGCCAACACUUAAAACAUUUUAAACAAAACAUGGAAAAAAACCAAAAACCAAAAAAAAAAAAAAAGGUACCAGUACCUACACACAGACAAUAACAAAUACAAGAAUACUGUACUGCCAAGAGGUUUGACUGCAACUCCUUUUGAAAGCUUCGGCAAAUAUGUGAAGAAAACAUUAGAGAACGUUUGCUUUUUGAUCCAUCCAAAGAGCAUUCCCUCCCUGUCUAACCUAGAGGUACUUCAUCAUCAAAAGGCGAGCUCUACAUCAAAAGUUACCGGCAGCAGUACAAUAUUAAAGUAACCACUGACCAUAUAUGAAUAUGCUUAAGUCACAAACCCAUUUUAUACACAUUACACAAAUAAACAUAAAGUGAGAAUUCCAUUAAGUCAUUUACAAAUGUGAACAAAUGCACAUGGCAACCAAAAAAAAAAAAAAAAAAAAA